rnacentral:misc_RNA from 1 species
GAUGAAGAACGUAGCGAAAUGCGAUAAGUAAUGUGAAUUGCAGAUUUCAGUGAAUCAUCGAAUCUUUGAACGCACAUUGCGCCCGCCAGUAUUCUGGCGGGCAUGCCUGUUCGAGCGUCAUUUCAACCAUCAAGCCUUCGCUUGUGUUGGGGCCCCGCGGCUGCCGCGGUCCCCUAAAUCCAGUGGCGGGCUCGUCGUCGUACCGAGCGCAGUAGACAUCCUCGCUCCGGGAACCCGACGGGUGCCGGCCGUGAAACCCCCCACAUCAAGGUUGACCUCGGAUCAGGUAGGAAUACCCGCUGAACUUAAGCAUAUCAAUAAGCGGAGGA